AAGGGAUAGGGUCGGUUCGGCCGGGUUUCACACAGGUGUUGCAUGGCUGUCGUCAGCUCGUGUCGUGAGAUGUUGGGUUAAGUCCCGCAACGAGCGCAACCCUCAUCCUUAGUUACCAUCAGGUAAUGCUGGGGACUUUAAGGAAACUGCCAGUGAUAAACUGGAGGAAGGUGGGGAUGAUGUCAAGUCAUCAUGGCCCUUAUGGAGUGGGCUACACACGUGCUACAAUGGUGGCUACAAUGGGCUGCAAAGUCGCGAGGCUAAGCUAAUCCCUUAAAAGCCAUCUCAGUUCGGAUUGUACUCUGCAACUCGAGUGCAUGAAGUUGGAAUCGCUAGUAAUCGUGGAUCAGCACGCCACGGUGAAUACGUUCCCGGGCCUUGUACACACCGA
rnacentral:rRNA from 1 species